AGUGGAAUUGCUGGGUCAAAUGGUAACUAUAUGUUUAACUUUUGUGGAACUUUCAGACUCUUUUCCAAAGUGGCUACACCAUUUUACAUUCUUACCAGCAGU
rnacentral:pre_miRNA from 1 species